rnacentral:rRNA from 1 species
AACGAACGCUGGCGGCGUGCCUAGUACAUGCAAGUAGAACGCCGAAGAGAGGAGCUUGCUCUUCUUGGAUGAGUUGCGAACGGGUGAGUAACGCGUAGGUAACCUGCCUUGUAGCGGGGGAUAACUAUUGGAAACGAUAGCUAAUACCGCAUAACAAUGGAUGACACAUGUCAUUUAUUUGAAAGGGGCAAUUGCUCCACUACAAGAUGGACCUGCGUUGUAUUAGCUAGUAGGUGAGGUAAUGGCUCACCUAGGCGACGAUACAUAGCCGACCUGAGAGGGUGAUCGGCCACACUGGGACUGAGACACGGCCCAGACUCCUACGGGAGGCAGCAGUAGGGAAUCUUCGGCAAUGGGGGCAACCCUGACCGAGCAACGCCGCGUGAGUGAAGAAGGUUUUCGGAUCGUAAAGCUCUGUUGUAAGUCAAGAACGGGUGUGAGAGUGGAAAGUUCACACUGUGACGGUAGCUGACCAGAAAGGGACGGCUAACUACGUG